rnacentral:rRNA from 1 species
CGGGGUGAGUAACGCGUGGGAAUCUGCCCUCAGGAGGGGGAUAACGGCUGGAAACGGCCGCUAAUACCCCAUAUGCCGAGAGGUGAAAUGAAAUUCGCCUGAGGAUGAGCCCGCGUCUGAUUAGCUAGUUGGUGUGGUAAUGGCGCACCAAGGCUUCGAUCAGUAGCUGGUCUGAGAGGAUGAUCAGCCACACUGGGACUGAGACACGGCCCAG